rnacentral:rRNA from 1 species
GCGUGGGCAACCUGCCCUCUAGAUGGGGACAACAUCCCGAAAGGGGUGCUAAUACCGAAUGUGACAGCAAUCUCGCAUGAGGAUGCUGUGAAAGAUGGCCUCUAUUUAUAAGCUAUCGCUAGAGGAUGGGCCUGCGUCUGAUUAGCUAGUUGGUGGGGUAACGGCCUACCAAGGCGAUGAUCAGUAGCCGGUCUGAGAGGAUGAACGGCCACAUUGGGACUGAGACACGGCCCAGACUCCUACGGGAGGCAGCAGUGGGGAAUCUUCCGCAAUGGGCGAAAGCCUGACGGAGCAAUGCCGCGUGAGUGAUGAAGGAAUUCGUUCCGUAAAGCUCUUUUGUUUAUGACGAAUGUGCAGGUUGUGAAUAAUGAUUUGUAAUGACGGUAGUAAACGAAUAAGCCACGGCUAACUACGUGCCAGCAGCCGCGGUAAUACGUAGGUGGCGAGCGUUGUCCGGAAUUAUUGGGCGUAAAGAGCAUGUAGGCGGUUUUUUAAGUCUGGAGUGAAAAUGCGGGGCCCAACCCCGUAUGGCUCUGGAUACUGGAAGACUUGAGUGCAGGAGAGGAAAGGGGAAUUCCCAGUGUAGCGGUGAAAUGCGUAGAUAUUGGGAGGAACACCAGUGGCGAAGGCGCCUUUCUGGACUGUGUCUGAC